GGUGCAUGGAGAAACUCAGCAUACUCCCUCCCCUCGUCAAUCUUAUGAAGCUGCAGCACGAGAGGCCGCCUAGUCACAAUUCCGGAUCCCCUGGGUAGGAAGUCCUUCCCUACUAUGCUUUCCAGCACCGACGACUUCCCCGAGCUCUGGCCGCCGACGACGGCGAUGGAAGGGAGGGAGUCCCAGAGGGUGGGGAGGGAGCUGCCCUCACCGUGGUCGCCGAGGGCGGUGCAGGCGCGCUGAAGCUUGUUGAUGAGGGAGAUCAGGCUCUCCAUGGCGGGCGGGGGAGGGGUAACGGCGGAUCGGAGCGGCGGAGGGAUUGAGCUCGGAGGAGAGAGAAACAGCAGCUGGAGGAGAGAGAAAC
rnacentral:misc_RNA from 1 species